rnacentral:rRNA from 1 species
AAGAUGGCGACCGGCGCACGGGUGAGUAACACGUAUCCAACCUGCCGAUAACUCUGGAAUAGCCUUUCGAAAGAAAGAUUAAUACCGGAUGGCAUACGAAUAUCGCAUGAUAUUUUUAUUAAAGAGUUUCGGUUAUCGAUGGGGAUGCGUUCCAUUAGUUUGUUGGCGGGGUAACGGCCCACCAAGACAACGAUGGAUAGGGGUUCUGAGAGGAAGGUCCCCCACAUUGGAACUGAGACACGGUCCAA